CCAGACUCCUACGGGAGGCAGCAGUGGGGAAUACUGCACAAUGGGGGAAACCCUGAUGCAGCGACGCCGCGUGAAGGAUGAAGUAUUUCGGUAUGUAAACUUCUAUCAGCAGGGAAGAAGGAGGACGGUACCUGACUAAGAAGCCCCGGCUAACUACGUGCCAGCAGCCGCGGUAAUACGUAGGGGGCAAGCGUUAUCCGGAUUUACUGGGUGUAAAGGGGGCGCAGACGGCAGCGCAAGCCAGGAGUGAAAGCCCGGGGCCCAACCCCGGGACUGCUCUUGGAACUGCGCGGCUGGAGUGCAGGAGGGGCAGGCGGAAUUCCUGGUGUAGCGGUGAAAUGCGUAGAUAUCAGGAGGAACACCGGUGGCGAAGGCGGCCUGCUGGACUGCGACUGACGUUGAGGCCCGAAAGCGUGGGGAGCAAACAGGAUUAGAUACCCGGGUAAUA
rnacentral:rRNA from 1 species